AGUUGGAAGACGGAGGCAAACAGAGAGAAAUGGAAGGAAGAGUCAACUUUUUAAACAGGAAAGAAAGAAGGCUAGAACCUAAAAACCCACAAGCCUGAAGGAGUGUGCAGUCCUCUGCAGCGGGACACCUUCCAAACACAUCUGGACAAUGCGCUACAUCUGCCGUGUGGUGACUUAGACCAAAUACACCUGAAAGCUUUCCUCAUUUCCUUGGUGAAAUGUUUAUUCACAGAAGGUGCCAGCAACAAAAGAGUCAAUAGGAGAUUGCUGGAGAACACCCAUUAAUUGGUUUCAGGAGAUCUUCAAACUGGAUUCAGAAACAAAUCAAAGCAGUGUAAGGAAAAGAAGAGGUUUGGCGUCACAAUAUGGACCUACACGUUUCUCAGCUGGUAAAAACCAUAGUCCAUAUUUCUUCUUAGCAAACGUUUGGCUCUACCCCAACUUCAGCAAUCACAAAGACUAAUAUAUAAGAAAGACUGCAUUAAAAAUAUAAUGUAAAAAUAUGUCCUUAAUAAAAGGAAGCAAGACUUGCAAAAUUCUUUCUUCUUUCUCUGCAGAAAAAAAGGUUUCUAGCUACGAGCCACUUUUUGCCUCUUUAAGUCUCUGUGCUUCUUAUUCCACUUCUUUAGCAGGCUUGAAAUGAAUGAAGAGGUAAAAGAUGAGAGAGUGACAUAGGUAGUAAAUUAUGUAAGUUAUAUAAAUGCAUGGCAAUAGCAAGCAGAUUUCAAUGCUAAUGCGGACGGCAGAGAUUUCUACCGUUAAGGAAGAAAGGAGGGAACCUGCAGCAUCUGAAGAGAAAUCGGCUGACUGAACUCCAGCGCCUGCUCCAGCCUGCAGAGAUGGGAGACUGCCACAGAAGGGGAAAGUGGAAGCGACUCCUGAAACCUGCAGAAGUGACAAUUCCCUGAAGCUUGAACUUCUGCAAUAAAGGGAAAGAGAUCAUUAACUGCCAGCGAGGAGCGUUUGUGGAGGAGAGAAGAAAAAAGAAAAAAAAAAAACCAAAACCUCUUUAACUCUGGAGUUUUUAAAAGUGCCCUUGUUUGUUUUCUUGGCAGAGGAGCGGAGCAUUUGGCACCCAUCCUUGGAAGGUGGCCCAACUGUAAAAAUGCUGGGGUUGGCCCUUUCCAUGCUGUUGCUAAGCGGAUGGCCCAAUAGCCGGCAGGGCCUUCCAAACCCCACCCUGCGCUCCGGCCGGAUCCAGGCUCCAGCCCGCCUGUAUUAAAAGCCUCUCUUCUCCCACUUGCUAAUAAUAAUAAUUUAAAAAAAAAAAAAAAAAAAGCCAAAGAAGUGCCGAGUUUAUGCAAGCAAACCCGACCCGGCUCAUGCCAAGAGCUCAGCAGAGAGGAGCUGGGGAGCACCAGCCCGUGCCCGGCUCCCGCUGCGGAGCCCCGCGGGGAUGGAUGGGGCUCCGCGCUGGGCUCCUGUCUGACUCGUUCUGCUCUCCCUCCUGCUCUGCUCCCACAGCCUCAAGGUAUAGGGCAGAAACAAAGGGUUUUUUUUCUCCCCCCCCCCCCCCCCCCCAAAUCCUUUUUUCUUUUUUAAUAACUUUAUCAACUCCGAACCCUGGGAUGAUUUGCGCGUUUCAUACUCUCUCUGUGCUUUUACUCUUGGUUAGAAUUUGGAGCCUUUCCAUUUCUCAGUUAAAAACUCUUUUCUCUCCUUCUUUUUCUUUUCUUUCCCCCCAGUUGUUUGUGGUUUUGCAUGAAAGGGCAUUGUUAACUCUUUCACCGCCCGUUUGGAAAGGGCUGUCUUGGCUCAGCCGUUACAGGCAUUUCUGGAAGAGCAGAAUAAAGCGCUGGGUUUCAAAAACGCAGGCUGAAAAAAGAGGAGUAGUGAUGGAGAAGAUUUACAUUGCAACUGCUACUGUAGGAUAACCCGAGCUAGAAAAGCAGAGCGCCUCUUAUUUAUUUACAAGAGCCCUGACUGCCUCUGCAAGGCACUAGCUGAGGCCUUUCCAAGCUGGUGCUCAAAAGCGUCGGUACAGGGGGGAGAAGGGGACAAGUUUGGUAAAAGCGUGGGAGAAGGUGGCUGUCCCCCCUGCCCCGCGUGGACACGGCAGCCAGGCCACCUCGGGCUGCCGCCGGGCAGGACUGACACCCCUCCCCGGUUCAGUGUGUGCGCGAAGCCUUGCUUUUGUGUCCAAAACAGGGAAAGCUGUGCUUUUUUGCUACCUAACUGUAAAACGAGCAAAAGGUGCACUUUUCCAGCGAGGCCGUGUUAAACGCAGUGUCACACUUGCCUGUGGGUAAACAGGAGGUCCUCGACAUACCAGCGAUGCACAUAAAGCGUGGGAAGAGCUGGGGAAAUUUUCACUGGAAGUUGUAAAAAGAGGAGGAUUAAUUUUCCCUAUUGUCCGUAGAGAUGAAAGACGGGGAAGUUGGCAUCUGUCAUUUAAACCUUUUUUUUUCCUCUUCAUCAACACUUGCAGCUGCAGAAAGUGGGUAUCGUCUCACUCCCGUGGGGAGACUGACCCGGGUGCGCACGUGUACGCUUGUGCUGCUCGCAAGAGCUUUCCCAGCUGAAGUCCUUGAGCUUCGAGUGAAUGCUAGAAACAGAGAUGACUUAAAUAUUUGGCAGCAGUUAGGAUAAGUUAUCUUUUUCUUUUAAAAAAUAACAUGUUAUGCAAGCAGGUUUUAUUAUAUUUAUAGGUAUUUAUUAUUUCUUUCUGUAGAUGAUAAAAUAAUCUUGUUGGAACCAAUAGGAAUGUAAAUUUAACAUUUCAUACUGUAUGUGAAUUAAACGACAACAUUUCUCGUAUAAGUUCUAAAAGCACAUUGAAAAAAACCCUUCCUAUAUUUGCACAUCCUGUGGUAAUUAACAAAUGAGUAUUUUCCUUUUUUAGGCUUUGAAAGAAAUACUUUUAUAGUGCUUAAAACAAGUGCAUAUUUUUCCUCCCCAGUAUGAUUGCUGUUCUUAAAUAUUUGUAUGCACGUUUGUAUGUAUGUUUGUUGUGCCUGUUAGUUCAGUUUUGUCGAACAAAUGGAGAAAAGGAAAAUAUAGAUUUUUAACCACAACAACAUUCCCUGCAGACAGGAUUUUUUUGUACUGCUAUAGAAAUGCAGCAGCUCGGAGGAAGAGCACACCAUGUAAUUCUACAUACAUCACAGCCCUUUUUUAUUACUCUUACCACACCAGCUGAAUGGAGAAUUACAAAAACUAUGUCUCUGAUUCUGUAAAGAUUUUUAAAAGAGGCUUAACUUUAGGCAUACAGGUAACUUCAAAGGGAAUUAAGUGAAAAUAGAAGUUGUGAGUAGUUCAUGACAGACGGAUGCAUUAGAGAGAAUGAUCUACACAAAACUUGAUCCAGAAGUUCCGGAAUUACGUUAAUUGACCUUGGUGAGCUAAACAAAAGCUCAUUGGAAAUUAUGUUCAGAAGUUAAACCCAAGACUUUUACAAAAUAAACCCCAGUGUAGCGGAUAUUCAUAUUAUUGCGUAUCUGCUGACUUUUCUAUAGGUAAAGGGUGACAUUCCGGCACUGCAGAAGGGAGUGGGAGUAUUGCCAUUGAUUUUACUGAUGCUGGAAUUUUGACCCAAACACUUACAUUUCUUCUGGCUCUGAGGUUUUUUUAUAAACUCUGACAUCAUUUUCUGUAUCUAUGCUGUCACAUUGCAUGGGGUGCAAAAGCAUUUUAAAAUUAACAAUGGACUUGAGCCGCAGAGCACAGCUCAUUGAUCAAACCUCUGAAUCCAUCUCGACAAAGUUUGAGUAGAUGUUUGAUUCAAGCCUAACGUAUAGACACGUCUCUUUGUACGUUCACCGUUUUGUUGGCACACCUGUUGUGGCCCGGUUGGGAAAUUUUGUGCCUGUAGCAAAUCCUCGUCUAGUGGGGCAAACCGAGCAUCGAUUUUGUUUCACCACGUCAGAGCAAGCUAUGUCAACUACUGCACAUCACUUUGUGAUCAUUCUAAAGCCACUCCAACAAAAAGCCGCCUCAGCAAGCUGUCGUUUUAAUGUUUUAUCCAUCUUCUUUAUGCGGACGUUUGCUCCACAUUUCAGUGAAGCCUCAUCUCUCCUGCCCACCGCCAUAGGCUACGAGUCUGCAGCAAAACUCAGUCUCGAACAUGUCACAUAUAACGAAACAGGAAAAUUCCACCCAAAACAUUCUGAUCACUGGCUUUCGUCCUGAAAUCCCCUCCCGGUAAGGAAGAAGAAGAGGACAAGGAAGACAGUGGUAGGUGACGCCUGCGCAGGAGCACUGCUAGACCUCUUGCAGCCAAGAGCAUUAUCCUGGUGGUUUGCAGCGGGACACGGGACACCAUCCCCGUGCUGUGCCUGCAGCGGGAACCCCUGUGUGCCUCGCUGCCGCAGCCACGUGUGGGAUGCCCGUGUCCAUUUAUCACUUCAAACGAAACUGAACAGCUAUAUUGUAAUACUGCAAAUUAGAGGCCUUCUAUAUCAUAAUUUUACAGCACUUAAGUUUGUGUUAUCUUUUAGCUCUUUAUUCAUCUACCUAGUUAAGAUUUUGAAGACCUAAUCUAGUUCCCAUUAAGACAAAGAGAAUUCCUUUCUCUGUGAAGUGUUAUACCUCGGGAAGCCAAAACCUUUGGUGUCUGCCUUAGACAUUUAUAUCGUACAGGCAUUAACGGCUCAACCUAUAGAUUUUUCUCCAUCAGUGGGGAAGUUUUAUUCUUAUCCCCAUUUUACAGGAUGAAAUCUCUUAUUCAGUGAAGUAUGUGAGCAUGUGCCAGUUUCAACAGAGCUGGUGGAAUCUUUCCAGGAUAGACUAAGUUUGCCAAAAGUGCAAUUUGAAGUGGAAAACUAUUCACAAAUUCAGGUUGCAUGUAAUGAAGAGUUUUGUCAGAAAGAAAAUCAGGGGAAUUUCUUUUCUCGGGAAAGUUUAAAUGUUUCAUUUCAGUGUUUUCAAAAAAAUCUAUGUCAUUUUGACCUGUCUUAAACCACUUACUUUUCAAAGUUAACCUUUUUUGUUCAUUAUUAUUUCGAAAGUAAUACGAUAAAUAGAAUACUAGACUUCUCAGUAAGAGAAAGAAUUGUCACUGCAUUAAGUUUCCUUUCGAUGUUUUGAAAUGGAGGAUUUUUUCAGCUAGAACUGUUUGUUGCUUAAAUUUGGGGUUAAAAACAAUAUGAAAACUUCCAUUCUAGAUCAAUCAAAGCAAUCUGAGUUGAUCCAAAAUUAAGCUUUGGGGGGGGGCUUCUAUGUCUGUUCCACCAACACAUUGUGUGUUUUGGGUUCAACCUCACCUGAAUCAUUUUUUCAAUUUGCCGUUCAGCCACCAGACCGAAGGGAACACGUUCGUACAGCUCCGACUCCCAACACUUUAACAGCCCUAUUGUUUUCAGUUGACUCCUGUGAAACUACCUGUGCUGGGAGUCAGCCACGUGGCUUUGAGUCUCCCUGAACUGAUGCCUAAACAAACUAUAAGAAGUCAAACAGGGUGACGGGCAGAGCCCGGCGCAGAGCCCCGGCGUCCUGGCUGGCCCCUUUGGUGCUCUGAGUUCAAGACCCUUUUUCUCGUCCAGGUUUGCCAAGCUCUCAGCAACACAUCUGGCUUAAGAAGGAAGGAUGGGGGCUGAAAGGGGAAUUAUUUUCUUUGCAGCUUUCAACGCUUAUGACCCAGAUUGUGGAAGUGUGUAUGGUGGGCAGCAAAGGGAGGAAAUGCCUGGGUGAAUUUGAAAUGGACAUCUGGGCUAAAAUUUUCAGUGGUUCUUAUAUUAGCCUAAAAUGUUCUUCUUCCUCUUGUGAACAUAGCUUCCUUUAAAUAAAUACCCAGAUAGCUUCCGUAAUUACCAAGAGCUUUCCCAUCUUCUGUUAAUAGCUUCUUCUAAUAAUGCAAAAUAAGUGAUAAAAUAAAAAUGAGUUGGAAUAAUUUUGCAAAGAUGACUUUAACCAAUUAGUCUGUUAAGGGAACAGUGGGAACAACAAAGACAUAAAUUUAAACAUAUACCUCUAAAUAGCAUAAUUACCUUUUAAGUUUCAAACUGUACAUGUGAAAAAAAAAAAAAAAAAAAGAUUCCAACCAGCCAAGCGAGAAGGAAGCAUGAUCCAAAGGAUGCUUGCUACACACCAAAAUAUUUUCCACCAAACUAAGUUUUGUUAACUUCCCAAUGCCAUGUGAUAUGUAUCUGCAGCUCACUCAUACUGCCUUAAUUUGUUGCUGUGUGUGACAAGUUGUAGUCUGAUCUAGCCUGACACACCAUGGUACGCACAGUACACAUAUAUCAUGAUAAGACAGUUGAAAACCAAAGACAAACAGCCCCAAAGAGAGAGUUAAACAGCAUGAUCCAGCAGAGCCCUGCAUCCAUCAGAGGGAGAGUAUUUGAAAUGGCACACCUUCCACUUGCAAGUAAAUAAAUACUGAUUGCAUGCUAUAGCUGGGAGUGAACAAGAUAAUUCAAUCCAGUGUUCCCAUGGACGACUUUGUUUCUUUCCUUCCCUGUGUAUUAGUUAACGUUCUUUGUAACGACAUCUUUUUUAUCAAUGUGUGGUGAAAACCAGGGUGUCUUGGACCCCCAAACCCCACUGAAAUGAGAAGGGUGGAAUCGCUUGCUGCCCGCUGGAGAAAGAGAUGAACCCAGCUGCUGCUGUUGUAACACGAUGCUCCAUGAGUGAAGAUCUUCUGUUCUUUAUUAUGUUGGUAAAAGCACCAGUAAUUCAACUAGCUUCGUUUCUGGCCAACUUGGGGUUCCCCUUCUAAGGACACAAAAUAUUUCUGGGCUAUAACCAAAGGAGUUUCUUUACCCAGGAUUCCUCUGGUGAAGAGGAUGAGCUCUUCAGUGUCUGCACGUUCAGGCAGAAGCUACUGCCCAGUUGAAGCAACGUUAGUUGCAUUCACAUUACUAAAAUGUUUGGUAGGAAACAGGUGACUUUUUGUCAUUUAGUGAAUGAAGGCAUUGGUAAUUAUGCCAAUGAGCUCACGUUGAAGGGUUCAUUAUAAAACACCACAACAAAUACAUCUGCUUUGCUCCUUAUGCCACAGGUAUCACAUCUGACGUGUUUCUGGCGUGCUGGGAUCUAGAGUUUUGGGGCAUUACACAGAUCUGAUUUUCACGCCUAGCAAACUGGCACACACUAACACAAUCUUUUUUGUCACCUAUAUUCGGGCCACAAAAGAAUAUAAAAAUCCACGUAAACAUGGCAGUAAUUUGUAAUGAAUUCUUGAGCGCUUCAUUUUAUAAAGACUCUGGUGGUUUGACCAAGUGAAAGCUGCCUUCUCUUAGGUCCCUUUGGGCUCUGCAUUGUGAGGGUCUAGCUGAGAAACUGAGAAUUUCAGUGGUUUUUCAAGUUUAUCUUAAAGUGUACUUAAAGCUGUGUCUGUAGUGUUGUACUGCCUUGCUCUGAGUAACUGGGAUGAUGAACUGGGCAAGUGCUGCGUCUGGUUAGUGUUUCUACAGACUGUGCAGGAUGAUCACUCAUCCAGAAAGAAACACUUUCCACUCUACGUGAGCAUCAGUGGAAAUGCUGAGAGUGUUCAGCGCUGUUCUCUUUUUAUCAUAGAAAAGUGACAUUCUCUAUGGACCUGCUCCAAAGCCCGAUCAUGUCAAUGAAAGGACUCCUAUUGACUUCAGUGUGACUUGGAGUGGUUCCUAAAAAUGGGAACAAAGCAGCAGACUUCAUAAAUCUUCUGAUGUGGUCCUUAAAGCAAGAAUUCAGACCCCAUGGGGCAAAGGUUUGUGAUUAGAAAGACGAUUUGGCCUCUCUUUCUUCCUGAACUGAACCAUUCAGGUCUUACUGAAGAUUCGUUCUUUGAGAAAAAUCAUAUGCCAGUCAGCACGGGGGAUAGUCAGUCUGUUAAAUGCUACAUUAUGCCUUUGACUUUUCAUUAUGGUGUGAGAUUUGAUUAAGGCAGUCAAUGACCCCAUGCUUAGGAACAGAAGGAAAAAAAGCAAAAAAAAAAAAAAAGCCAGUGGAGCCAUAGGGCUAAAAUAUGUUGCUGAGAAGUGAAACAAUUGAAGGUGUGGAGGAGAGAGGAAUUAUCACAGCACUGUUGGCACCAAAGUGGUAUCGAGAGGCUCUAAACUGCCAUAACACACAUGCUGGCACUAUUUCAUCCUACACCUUUACCACAAUGCAGACCCUGUUUGUGUAGGAGAGCUUCCCACCAGGAGAGAAGAGGUGCACGCGGAUGCCCACACUCCAAAAUCGCAGGCAAGGCUUGCCAGCAGCUGCCGCUCUCCGCAAUCCAUUGCCUGGUUAUGGCUGCGUUCCUAGACCUUUCCUAGGGAGGUUUUUAAAGGUACUUAGGAAAUGAACAGGAGUUGAACCUUUAUGUCCCUUUGUGCCAUUGACAGAAACCCACUUUUAUUUCCUUUCCUAGCGGAUACGACCUUUCCUGCUCUCCCUUUAGACCUGCUGCGUGUCCUCCGUAACGUAGUGCCGUGCCUGCCUAUGUUAAAACACAUUGGGAAGUGAAAGCCUGCUCACUGCACAACUUCCUGUCACGACUCUUUCAGCAUUUGACUCACAAGUGUAAUUUGGCUUUAUCACUCCCUUAAGUGCACUGUAGAUGCCUGAUUUGCCAGGCACAUAAGGCGAGCCAUCACGUUACCGUGUGGAACCUCUUUUCCACACUGCUCUAUAUAUGUCAGUCAACCUUUUAAUUUGAUUAGGAGGUUAAUUUGCAUGGUACUCUGUGUAUUCUUUUACUGGAAUAUAUAUAUACUAUGAAAUGUAUGAUGUAAGUUAAUCCAAAGCUAAAGAGGCCAAUAAAAGCUAGUUCCUUAAGGAGGAAGAAAAGAGAGCACAGCUCAAUGGAAGAAAAGCUUGGUAGGAGUCCAGAGUCCUGACUCAUUGUUAGCCUCAAGAGCGUCCUGACUAGCAUCAACGUGUUCUGGAAGCAAUGUGAUUUUCCUACCGUAUUAAUGAAAAAAUAAUAAAAUGUAAUGCUAAAACAAUAGGACAUACCAGAAAAUUUCCACUGAGGAAUGGGGCUCUGUAAUAAGCUCAUGUCAGAAUGAUUUCCAUCCUGUCCACA